CGUAGUAUAUGCUGUAGCGUGCUCGUCGAGCACGGGAAGUUGGAAGAUCCUCUCCAAGAGGUGACGCCUGUGGAACGAGCGGCGGACGGGUGAGUAACACGUGGGCAACCUGCCUGUAAGAUUGGGAUAACCCCGGGAAACCGGGGCUAAUACCGGAUAAUACUUUUCGUUGCAUAACGAGAAGUUGAAAGGCGGCUUUUAGCUGUCACUUACAGAUGGGCCCGCGGCGCAUUAGCUAGUUGGUAAGGUAACGGCUUACCAAGGCGACGAUGCGUAGCCGACCUGAGAGGGUGAUCGGCCACACUGGGACUGAGACACGGCCCAGACUCCUACGGGAGGCAGCAGUAGGGAAUCUUCCGCAAUGGACGAAAGUCUGACGGAGCAACGCCGCGUGAGUGAUGAAGGUUUUCGGAUCGUAAAACUCUGUUGUCAGGGAAGAACAAGUGCCGUUCAAAUAGGGCGGCACCUUGACGGUACCUGACCAGAAAGCCCCGGCUAACUACGUGCCAGCAGCCGCGGUAAUACGUAGGGGGCAAGCGUUGUCCGGAAUUAUUGGGCGUAAAGCGCGCGCAGGCGGUCCUUUAAGUCUGAUGUGAAAGCCCACGGCUUAACCGUGGAGGGCCAUUGGAAACUGGAGGACUUGAGUACAGAAGAGGAGAGUGGAAUUCCACGUGUAGCGGUGAAAUGCGUAGAGAUGUGG
rnacentral:rRNA from 1 species